rnacentral:rRNA from 1 species
AACGUAGGUGGCGAGCGUUAUCCGGAUUUACUGGGCGUAAAGGGUGUGCAGGCGGGCUGUUAAGUGGUGUAUGAAAUAUCCCGGCUCAACCGGGAAGGGUUAUGCCAGACUGGCAGUCUAGAGAGCGAGAGAGGGACGUGGAAUUCCGGGUGUAGUGGUGAAAUGCGUAGAGAUCGGAAAGAACACUCGUGGCGAAGGCGGCUUUCUGGCCCAAAACUGACGCUGAGGUGCGAAAGCGUGGGGAGCAAACAGG